UACGGGGGGAGCAAGCGUUGUUCGGAUUUACUGGGCGUAAAGGGCGCGUAGGCGGCAACUCAAGUCAGCUGUGAAAUCUCCGAGCUUAACUCGGAACGGUCAGCUGAUACUGUUUUGCUAGAGUGCAGAAGGGGCAAUCGGAAUUCUUGGUGUAGCGGUGAAAUGCGUAGAUAUCAAGAGGAACACCUGAGGUGAAGACGGGUUGCUAGGCUGACACUGACGCUGAGGCGCGAAAGCCAGGGGAGCAAACGGG
rnacentral:rRNA from 1 species